GUACUGUCAUUAUCAUCCCUGGCGAAAGAGCUUUACGACCCUAAGGCCUUCGUCACUCACGCGGCAUGGCUAGAUCAGGCUUGCGCCCAUUGUCUAAGAUUCCCCA
rnacentral:rRNA from 1 species